AGGAGGAUGUCCAGAGGACGAAUGCAAGCUGGGUGGACUCCAUUUUCAGCUACAACCCUAAGGAGAUAGGUCAUUCGCAGUUGGGUGGAGCGCUAGUGCCUCUGACACAGGGCUCCACCCAGGAGUGUGCGACACCAGUUGCAGACGUAGCAGGACGUCUGGCUCAUGAGGUUGCCCCUCCAGAGCCUCUUACGUACGACCAGCUCCAAACCAGAGAAGCGCAGCGGGCAGCGAGACGUGGUGCUAGUGCUGUGCAUCACAAGCGACGACGCAUUUAGUCCAUAAGGCCCUCUUUAUCUUUAUGCAGAUCAUCUUUUGUAGGCCGGUGCAGAUUAUGAUGUGUAGACUGUUGCAGGCUAUGAUGUGUAGGCCAGUGCAGGCUAUGAGGUGUAGGCCGGUGCAGGCUAUGAGGUGUAGGUUGGUGCAGACUAUGAUGUCCAUGCUCGUUCUUUUGCUCUACUAUGAUGGACAUGGUCCAUAGACCAGGU
rnacentral:lncRNA from 1 species